rnacentral:lncRNA from 1 species
GGGGACUCUGGGGUGGCAGAGGGCAAGGAGAGGAAGCCGCCCCCGUCUAGGGGGCCCGCCCCAGCCCCACGGGAAGUGGGACGGGGAAAGGCACCCUACAAAGAAAGGACUCCUAGCUCCCAACUGGUUCGAAUCCCACCUCGGCCACUUACUGGGUGUGUGACCUUGGGUAGGGUAACGCCUCUCUGUGAGCCUCUGCUUUUUCCAGAAGAAACGGGAAAAAUCAAAGUGCUGCCUUCUCUGAGUCAAUUAGGCGACCCUCAUUACGGCGACAGUCGGGAAGUAUGGGGUCUGGGCCCGCCCGGGCACACGGAGGGUGCCUGCCGCAGGUGGCCGGUUCCCUCGGGGCUGCCCAAGGCUGGGCGAGGGCCUCUUCGCCCAGCUGGUCGGGAUCAGGACGCGACACGGAAGAGACCCCAGCUCUGCCCUGACCCCGGUCCGGGUCCGCAGGACGCAGCCCACUCGCCCUCAGAACACCGGCUCGCCUGGCACCCGGCGCGGCCCGGGCCCCGCUCGGACUCGAACCUGGUGGGGGCGCGCCCGGCAGAAAGCGGGGUGCUGGGACAGCGGGACCCCCACGCGCGACCCUGGUCUCCCGGGCCAGUCCCCUCCCCAGGUCCGGGCGGCUCACCAGGGCCGACUUGGAUGCUGCGGACUGAAGUCCACGUCUUCUUGCUGGAUGUUGGCUGGUGUCAUUCUCACUCCUAGAGGCCACUGCAUUCCUUCCACGAUGGCUUGAACACCUCCAUCAUCAGAGCCAGCAAGCAAGAGCACGCUGAAGACGCUUCGAGAUGCAGCAAGACGCCUGUAAUCCCAGCCCUUUGGGAGACCGAGGCAGGUGGAUCACGAGGUCAGGAGAUCGAGACCAUCCUGGCCAACAUGGUGAAGCCCCGUCUCUACUGAAAUACAAAAAGUUAGCCAGACGUGGUGGCACGUGUCUAUAGUCCCAGCUACUCGGAGGCUGAGGCAGGGGAAUCGCUUGAACCCGGGAGGCGGAAAUUGCAGUGAGCUGAGAUUGCGCCACUGCACUCCAGCCUGGCAACAGAGCGAGACUCCAUCUCAAAAAAAAAGGUGCUGCAAGACGCUUCCAAUCUCUGUGACUUCCCCUUCUGCCAUACCUCUUUACUUUUUCCCCCUCUUUUGGGGAGGGGGGAGGGUUUAAAAUAAAUAUAAAAUUUACCAUCAUAACUGUGAAAGGAAAAUAAAUCUCAGGACUCCAAAAUCACUAAGCCAAAGGGAAAAGUCAAGCUGGGAACUGCGUUGGGCAAACUGCCUCGCCUUUUCUUCUUUAAUAAAAUAGCUACGAAGAUUUAAAAAGCUACAUACCUCCCUCACAAUUUGCCCGCUAGGAAAUUUUUCGUGGGCACCCAAGAUCUUUACCCUAAAACAGUUUUGUUGAAUUUUACCCUAACAAUGUA